UACAGAGGUCCAUCAGCUGGUAGGCGAAUCACUGGGCUUAAAGCGUGUGUAGGCGGAUCGUUAAGUGUCUUGUGAAAUCCCACGGCUCACCCGUGGAACUGCUGGGCAUACUGGCGAUCUUGGGCCAACUAGGGGCAACUGGAACAAGCGGUGGAGCGGUGAAAUGCGUAGAUAUCGCUUGGAACGCCGAAGGUGAAAACAGGUUGCUGGGGACGCGCCGACGCUGGGACACGAAAGCCAGGGGAGCAAACGGG
rnacentral:rRNA from 1 species